AUCUUUUUGUAGUUUAUGAGCGUGACCAUUGGGUGUUUAUGCACAUGUGUGAGAUGUGCCAUCAUUGAACCUUGUUACGAUGUCAGUGCAUUACCCAUCUGACA
ensembl:snoRNA